GAUGAACGCUGGCGGCGUGCUUAACACAUGCAAGUCGAACGGAAAGGCUCCUGCUUGCAGGGGUACUCGAGUGGCGGACGGGUGAGUAACACGUGGGUGAUCUGCCCUGCACUUCGGGAUAAGCCUGGGAAACUGGGUCUAAUACCGGAUAGGACUACAUUUUGGAUGGUGUGGUGGAAAGUUUUUCGGUGUGGGAUGAGCUCGCGGCCUAUCAGCUUGUUGGUGGGGUAAUGGCCUACCAAGGCGUCGACGGGUAGCCGGCCUGAGAGGGUGUACGGCCACAUUGGGACUGAGAUACGGCCCAGACUCCUACGGGAGGCAGCAGUGGGGAAUAUUGCACAAUGGGCGCAAGCCUGAUGCAGCGACGCCGCGUGGGGGAUGACGGCCUUCGGGUUGUAAACUCCUUUCGCUAGGGACGAAGCGCAAGUGACGGUACCUGGAGAAGAAACACCGGCUAACUACGU
rnacentral:rRNA from 1 species